rnacentral:rRNA from 1 species
GAAGGCCCCACUGUCUUAAGGAAAUUCCCAGUGAAAUUGAAUUCGUAGUGAAGAUGCUACGUCCAAUUUGUUAGACGAAAAGACCCCGUUGAGCUUUACUGGGCACUUACACGGCCCCGGCCUUCGAGACUAGGUGUGAUAAGCCAAGGCUUCCCACACCUAGGGACCGGCCGAAUUUAAAUGGGCGGCUUAGACUAUGUGGCAGUCCCCCCCGUCGGGGCAGAUGAAACCCCACUCCCCCAUGUCAAAGGGGCUAACCCCCCCCCUUGGGGGGGGGACAGUGUAAGUAGGACAGUUUGGUUGGGGCGACCGCCUUUUARAUAGUAACGAAGGUGCGCUUAAGGUGCGUAAUUAAUGACUGAAGCCUGACUGCGAGGGGGACACCCCGAGCAGACACCCCCAAGCCCGCCCGAAGGGCGGCGGUGGGGUGGGCCAUAGUGACCCGUUAAUUUAGAGUGGUAUAGUUAACGAUCAACGAAUAAAAGUUACCACGGGGA